GAUGAACGCUGGCGGCGUGCCUAAUACAUGCAAGUCGAGCGAACAGACGAGGAGCUUGCUCCUCUGACGUUAGCGGCGGACGGGUGAGUAACACGUGGAUAACCUACCUAUAAGACUGGGAUAACUUCGGGAAACCGGAGCUAAUACCGGAUAAUCUAUUGAACCGCAUGGUUCAAUAGUGAAAUACGGUUUUGCUGUCACUUAUAGAUGGAUCCGCGCCGCAUUAGCUAGUUGGUAAGGUAACGGCUUACCAAGGCAACGAUGCGUAGCCGACCUGAGAGGGUGAUCGGCCACACUGGAACUGAGACACGGUCCAGACGCCUACGGGAGGCAGCAGUAGGGAAUCUUCCGCAAUGGGCGGAAGCCUGACGGAGCAACGCCGCGUGAGUGAUGAAGGUCUUCGGAUCGUAAAACUCUGUUAUUAGGGAAGAACAAAUGUGUAAGUAACUAUGCACGUCUUGACGGUACCUAAUCAGAAAGCCACGGCUAACUACGUG
rnacentral:rRNA from 1 species